GUACACAAAAAUGCACAUAUUGUGAGCUCGAUGAGUAGGGCGGGACACGUGGUAUCCUGUCUGAAUAUGGGGGGACCAUCCUCCAAGGCUAAAUACUCCUGACUGACCGAUAGUGAACCAGUACCGUGAGGGAAAGGCGAAAAGAACCCCGGCGAGGGGAGUGAAAAAGAACCUGAAACCGUGUACGUACAAGCAGUGGGAGCCUCUUUAUGGGGUGACUGCGUACCUUUUGUAUAAUGGGUCAGCGACUUAUAUUCUGUAGCAAGGUUAACCGAAUAGGGGAGCCGAAGGGAAACCGAGUCUUAACUGGGCGUUAAGUUGCAGGGUAUAGACCCGAAACCCGGUGAUCUAGCCAUGGGCAGGUUGAAGGUUGGGUAACACUAACUGGAGGACCGAACCGACUAAUGUUGAAAAAUUAGCGGAUGACUUGUGGCUGGGGGUGAAAGGCCAAUCAAACCGGGAGAUAGCUGGUUCUCCCCGAAAGCUAUUUAGGUAGCGCCUCGUGAAUUCAUCUCCGGGGGUAGAGCACUGUUUCGGCAAGGGGGUCAUCCCGACUUACCAACCCGAUGCAAACUGCGAAUACCGGAGAAUGUUAUCACGGGAGACACACGGCGGGUGCUAACGUCCGUCGUGAAGAGGGAAACAACCCAGACCGCCAGCUAAGGUCCCAAAGUCAUGGUUAAGUGGGAAACGAUGUGGGAAGGCCCAGACAGCCAGGAUGUUGGCUUAGAAGCAGCCAUCAUUUAAAGAAAGCGUAAUAGCUCACUGGUCGAGUCGGCCUGCGCGGAAGAUGUAACGGGGCUAAACCAUGCACCGAAGCUGCGGCAGCGACACUAUGUGUUGUUGGGUAGGGGAGCGUUCUGUAAGCCUGUGAAGGUGGCCUGUGAGGGUUGCUGGAGGUAUCAGAAGUGCGAAUGCUGACAUAAGUAACGAUAAAGCGGGUGAAAAGCCCGCUCGCCGGAAGACCAAGGGUUCCUGUCCAACGUUAAUCGGGGCAGGGUGAGUCGACCCCUAAGGCGAGGCCGAAAGGCGUAGUCGAUGGGAAACAGGUUAAUAUUCCUGUACUUGGUGUUACUGCGAAGGGGGGACGGAGAAGGCUAUGUUGGCCGGGCGACGGUUGUCCCGGUUUAAGCGUGUAGGCUGGUUUUCCAGGCAAAUCCGGAAAACCAAGGCUGAGGCGUGAUGACGAGGCACUACGGUGCUGAAGCGACAAAUGCCCUGCUUCCAGGAAAAGCCUCUAAGCAUCAGGUAACAUCAAAUCGUACCCCAAACCGACACAGGUGGUCAGGUAGAGAAUACCAAGGCGCUUGAGAGAACUCGGGUGAAGGAACUAGGCAAAAUGGUGCCGUAACUUCGGGAGAAGGCACGCUGAUAUGUAGGUGAAGCGACUUGCUCGUGGAGCUGAAAUCAGUCGAAGAUACCAGCUGGCUGCAACUGUUUAUUAAAAACACAGCACUGUGCAAACACGAAAGUGGACGUAUACGGUGUGACGCCUGCCCGGUGCCGGAAGGUUAAUUGAUGGGGUUAGCGGCAACGCGAAGCUCUUGAUCGAAGCCCCGGUAAACGGCGGCCGUAACUAUAACGGUCCUAAGGUAGCGAAAUUCCUUGUCGGGUAAGUUCCGACCUGCACGAAUGGCGUAAUGAUGGCCAGGCUGUCUCCACCCGAGACUCAGUGAAAUUGAACUCGCUGUGAAGAUGCAGUGUACCCGCGGCAAGACGGAAAGACCCCGUGAACCUUUACUAUAGCUUGACACUGAACAUUGAGCCUUGAUGUGUAGGAUAGGUGGGAGGCUUUGAAGUGUGGACGCCAGUCUGCAUGGAGCCGACCUUGAAAUACCACCCUUUAAUGUUUGAUGUUCUAACGUGGGCCCCUAAUCGGGGUUGCGGACAGUGUCUGGUGGGUAGUUUGACUGGGGCGGUCUCCUCCUAAAGAGUAACGGAGGAGCACGAAGGUUGGCUAAUCCUGGUCGGACAUCAGGAGGUUAGUGCAAUGGCAUAAGCCAGCUUGACUGCGAGCGUGACGGCGCGAGCAGGUGCGAAAGCAGGUCAUAGUGAUCCGGUGGUUCUGAAUGGAAGGGCCAUCGCUCAACGGAUAAAAGGUACUCCGGGGAUAACAGGCUGAUACCGCCCAAGAGUUCAUAUCGACGGCGGUGUUUGGCACCUCGAUGUCGGCUCAUCACAUCCUGGGGCUGAAGUAGGUCCCAAGGGUAUGGCUGUUCGCCAUUUAAAGUGGUACGCGAGCUGGGUUUAGAACGUCGUGAGACAGUUCGGUCCCUAUCUGCCGUGGGCGCUGGAGAACUGAGGGGGGCUGCUCCUAGUACG
rnacentral:rRNA from 1 species